CCUUUUUGGUGGAAGAGUUCUACGAUUCUGUGAAGAGAAAACACAUAGAACUUGGGCUUUUGCAAAGAACGAAGACUCUAUUGACAAUCCUUGAAGCUCAAGUAAGGAGUAACUUGUGAUAGUGAAUAGAGAUGAAUAAGAGUUGGAUGCAAGAACCUACUCGAUGUUCCGAUCGAUAUCUAAAAGGUGUUGAAGAAUUCCUUAGAAUGGCGCGUCAAUGUGUGGAUGUAAAUGGUAUUAUGAGGUGUCCAUGUCGUGAUUGUGCAAAUCGAUAUUUUCGUCAUAUUGAGUUGGUGGAGAGUCACUUGUAUGAACAUGGAAUUGAUCGCACAUACACUCUAUGGAUAUUUCAUGAUGAAGAAGAUCCGUGUGGUAUAAACGUGACUGCCAACUUACACACUGAUACAAAUGUGAGGAUAAAGGAGGUUGAUGAGAUUAAAGAAUUGUUAGGCAAUGUUCAAAUGGGGACAUUUUUUGAAGCCAACAUAGGUGAACCCUCUACUACUCCAGGUUUGACAACUAAUAGUCACAAAUAUAGAACCCCUUUUGGUCGAUUAUGGGAAGAUGGCAUGGGUGGACUUUAUCCAGGCUGUAAUAAAUUUACAAAAGUAGCUUUCAUUUUGAAGAUGCUUCAUAUAAAGACAAUUUGCAACAUGAGUAACAAGGCAUUCGAUAUGAUAAUUAAAUUGAUAAAGGAGGCCCUUCCUGAUGGAGACACAUUGCCACGCUCGUACCAAGAAGUAAAGCGAUUUUGCCGAGACUUGAGUUUUGGUUAUGAGUCGAUACAUGCAUGCAAGAAUGAUUGUGUGCUUUUCUGGAAGGAACAUGCUGAUAAAGUAAAAUGCCCAACAUGCAACACUUCAAGAUGGAGUUGUGUUAAGGGUAGUGGCAAGAAAAUUUCUCAAAAGGUCUUGCGGUAUUUCCCAAUAAAACCGAGGUUGCAAUGAUUGUUUAUGUCAAAAGAUAUGGCCAAACAUAUGAGGUGGCACAAAGAUGAACGAAAAGAUGACGGCAACACUCUAAGACACCCAGCCGAUGGUCUUGCGUGGAAAGAGUUUGAUAAAGAACAUGAAUGGUUUGCUUGUGAUUCCCGCAACGUGCGACUUGGUUUGGCAAGUGAUGGUUUCAACCCAUUUGGUAAUAUGAGUACCACAUAUAGCAUAUGGCCAGUAGUAGUAAUGCCGUACAAUUUACCCCUAUGGAUGUGUAUGAAUGACUCAAAUAACAAUGGCAUUCAAGACGAUACUUGAUCAUAGAGAGUUGAUCAGCAAGUGAUGUAAUCAUAGAAGCAGUCCUAAAGGAUUUUCAUGAACGAAGAGCUCUCAAGUUGCUGGUACUUCUUCCCGUCCUCGCAUUUUCAGAAAGCAAGAAGCUGAAUAUGAAGAGGAAGUAUCUGAGGAAGAAGGAUCUGAAGAAGAAUCUGAAGGAAAUAAUGAAAAGCUGAAAGGCACUCAAGGUAUUAUCCAGAUUGAAAAUCCUAAUUUGGUAAAGCCAAAGUCCUUGAAAGCCAGAGAUAUCGAUGUAAGCUCCACCAAAUUUUCUCAUGCAUUCUUCAUUUAUUAACUUAUGCCAAAAAAAGAAGUAAUGUUUUUUCUUCCCAUGUAGUUGGGGAAACAAUUGAACUUUCAAGGCGUGAAAGGUUUGUUAAUGGUCACUUUUGUUCUUCAAGAGGACAAUUUAUGUUCUAUUUCGAAGUGGGAGUCCAUAUUUUUUUAUUUUUUAUUUUUAAAUAUAUCUUUGUGGUUUUCUUUGAUUCUUUUUCAGUCCUAUGACACAAAUCUUCAUUGAAGUACAUACUUCUUUAUACUUUUAACAGAUUUGCAUGUAAAGCAAUUGUAUUUAUUAUCAACUUUUGUGUAUCAUGCAGAGAGGAGAUAGAGAAACAGAAAACUCAUGAGCGAUAUAUGAAAUUGCAAGAACAGGGGAAAACAGAACAAGCUAAGAAAGAUUUAGGCAUCAUAGAAGCAUUACUGCACUUACAAGCACAUACGGGAAAGAGAAUAUUGAUGAAGAAUGAAUGGAUACCUCAAAUGAAGGUGCAAGCUUUUUUGGUUAAGCUCAUAGCAGUUCUUCAUCUAUGAUGUGGCGCAUUUGCUUCUGCGAGCGGCCGACUAUUGUCAAAACUACUAACACUGAGAAAAACUUUGGAAGGAGGUUUGUGAGUUGCGAAAACUGGAAGGCAAGUACUUGAUAUUUUAUGUAAUCAAUAUAUGAACUGUCAUUGUUUGCUGCUUUUGUUUAGUUUAUUCAAUUAAUUUAUGUUGGUAAUUGUUAGUUGUAGUGUGUUUGAUAGAUUAACCAAGAUUGUGGUUUCUUUGAAUGGCUUGAUCCUAGAAUGUGCUCCUUUGGUAAGAAGGUAGUACAUCGUUUGCAUCGAAGGCAUGAAUAUUUGGAGGCUCAAGCGAAAUGAUAUGAAAUAUUGGUUGAAGUUGAAGUUGGGAAGUGAGAGCAGAAAAUGAGAAAAAAAAACUGUUCAGCUGAAGGUAGAAAUUGAGAGUGAAGCUUGGCAUAUGAAGGAACAAUUGCUGAAUAAGAUAUCCCAGUAUUGUAAACAAAUCGAGAUUGUGGACAUAAAGAUGAAUGCAAUGAAGAAGAAUUAGCAUACAAUCAUUGUGUGUUCAUGGAUCGUAAUGAUGUGUGCAUUAUUCAUGUUCUUCUUUGGAUAGAUUCCCAAUGGUCACCAUGUUUGCAAAUUAGGUCGUGUGA